UACAGGCUAGAAAGCUAGGUUUGCAUUCUAUGCUAAUUGCUAAUUAUUUGUUUUCUAAACAUUUGUUUUCCAUAAAAUGGACUUUUUUUUGAGUGAACUUAUUUUUUUACUAUUUGCAACAGACGUGGAAACGGCUUUAUUGCUGGAGUCAUUAAUGCAGACCAUCGGAAUAAUGCUCGGGCAUCCUGUCAAAUGCUGUCAGGGAAUGUUGCAGUUACUGUGUCUGCUAUAUCGACCCCAAUGAACACUCGCCACCAACCAGGAGGUCGUCACUUGGACCCGCCUUUUACUGAUGGUUACGUAUUACAACACAUUUAUGGAAGAGGAGGGAACAGGUCUCUGCUUUGGUACAGAGAUGGACAACACGAGAAGGAGGAGAGAAAUUUGCUUCUGAAGGAGAAGAAGAAAAAAGCUGGAAGAAAGAGGAAAAGAUCCCACCAUGCUGGUCAUUAGAGGGGCUAAAGAUCUGACCAGCAUGUCUCAGAUCAAACAUUAAUAAUAAACAUAGAAAUUUCACA